GUUGACCUCGGAUCAGGUAGGAAUACGCGCUGAACUUAAGCAUAUCAAUAAGCGCAGGAAAAGAAACCAACAGGGAUUGCCUCAGUAACGGCGAGUGAAGCGGCAACAGCUCAAAUUUGAAAUCUGGCCUCUUGGGGCCCGAGUUGUAAUUUGUAGAGGAUGUUUUGGGUACCGCCCCGGUUUAAAUUUCUUGGAACAGAAUGUCAGAGAGGGUGAGAAUCCCGUCUUGGACCGGCGGUAGGGCCUGUGUAAAACUCCUUCGACGAGUCGAGUUGUUUGGGAAUGCAGCUCAAAAUGGGUGGUAAAUUUCAUCUAAAGCUAAAUAUUGGCCAGAGACCGAUAGCGCACAAGUAGAGUGAUCGAAAGAUGAAAAGCACUUUGAAAAGAGAGUUAAACAGUAUGUGAAAUUGUUGAAAGGGAAGCGCUUGCAACCAGACUUGCGCGCGGCGGUUCCCCUUGCCUUUUGGCUUGGGUACUCCGUCGCGUCCAGGCCAACAUCGGUUUCGGGGGCCAGUUAAAGGCCCUGGGAAUGUACCUACCCCCGGGUAGACUUAUAGACCAGGGUGCCAUGUGGCCUCCCGGGACCGAGGAACGCGCUUCGGCUCGGAUGUUGGCGUAAUGGUUGUCAGCGACCCGUCUUGAAACACGGACCAAGGAGUCUAACAUCUAUGCGAGUGUUUGGGUGUCAAACCCGGAACGCGGAAUGAAAGUGAACGGAGGUAGGAAGCUUCGGCUGCACUAUCGACCGAUCCUGAAGUUUACGGAUGGAUUUGAGUAAGAGCAUAGCUGUUGGGACCCGAAAGAUGGUGAACUAUGCCUGAAUAGGGUGAAGCCAGAGGAAACUCUGGUGGAGGCUCGCAGCGGUUCUGACGUGCAAAUCGAUCGUCAAAUUUGGGUAUAGGGGCGAAAGACUAAUCGAACCAUCUGGUAGCUGGUUCCUGCCGAAGUUUCCCUCAGGAUAGCAGUAACGUUUUCAGUUUUAUGAGGUAAAGCGAAUGAUUAGAGGCCUUGGGGUUGAAACAACCUUAACCUAUUCUCAAACUUUAAAUAUGUAAGAAGUCCUUGUUACUUAAUUGAACGUGGACAUUUGAAUGUACCGUUACUAGUGGGCCAUUUUUGGUAAGCAGAACUGGCGAUGCGGGAUGAACCGAACGUGAGGUUAAGGUGCCGGAAUGUACGCUCAUCAGACACCACAAAAGGUGUCAAUGCAUCUAGACAGCCGGACGGUGGCCAUGGAAGUCGGAAUCCGCUUAGGAGUGUGUAACAACUCACCGGCCGAAUGCAUUGGCCCUGAAAAUGGAUGGCGCUUAAGCGUGCUACCUAUACCUCGCCGUUAGGGUUGACAUGAUGCCCUAACGAGUAGGCAGGCGUGGAGGUCCGUGACGAAGCCUUGGGGGUGACCCCGGGUCGAACGACCUCUAGUGCAGAUC
rnacentral:rRNA from 1 species